UUUUUUUUUUUUUUUUUUCUCUCUCUCUUUUUUCCCCCCUCCCUUUUCUUUUUUUCCACCCCCCUACCCACCCUUUGUUUCCCCUCUGGACCUGCCUGCCCACCCGAGGGGGACCGUAGCAAGGCCAGGUUGGAGGGUUUGACUGCAGAGAGGUUAUUCCCAGCAUCGAGGCAGCUCCGCUCUCCGCUGUUCUCCCGCGGGGCAGCCUUUCUCCUCCCCUCCCGCCCGCCACGUCCCGGCUCGUUUUGCCCCGUGGCUACUACUGAGGACUUUCAGGUAUCGGCUGGUGACGAGCUCUUUCCCCUGCUCUGCUCACCACCAAGCCCUGCCCUCGCAGAGGAAGAGUUUGGCCCCGGAGGGUCCUUCCCCGGCUCCCAGCCCCACGCUGGUCCCGUGCCGCGGCCCUGGGGGAGUUUGGUUGCUGCUGGUCCCGUCCUGGGUGUCCUCUCCCACCCCACGCCGCUAAACCUCGGAAAGCUGGGGGGCGUGGUGGGGGUUUGGGGAUGAUCCAGCUGCAGCAGCACCAGAGGCAGCUGUGAGAGCCUCUGUGUCUGGCCCGGCCUCUUCACAAGCGCUUUGGGACUUUUCCUCCUGCCCUUCGGGGCCUUGUUCGCCGGCCCUUGGAGAUCUGCUCCCGUAGCACCCCGCGAUCGCCUACGCGAGCCUUUGCUGAGCAAAUCCACCUCUUCCCCCAAGGCAUCCAAGCGCGGGCGCAGUCUGCGAGCCCCUUCGCGGUGCCUGGUCCCUGCCCCGCGCCGGCACGACGGGAGUCGGGACGUCGUGGACCUUCUCUUGGGAUCGCGUCACGGUUUGCAGAGCGGAGGUGGGAGAAGGCACCCAACCCUGAAUCCGCGCAGCCGAGGCGAAGCGCCGGCCCAGCCCCGGGGCUGCACCGUGGGCCGCGUCCCCCCGGCCCACGGCGGGUUUGCCCCGUGGGCCUCCGCGUAACUGCCUUAACCCCCGUCCCCUCCGCACUCGGGCUCUGGCUUCGGGCUGCGUCCGGAGGUUAAUCCCGCCGAGAGCUGGGAGACGCCGCCGGCAUCGCGCUCGCGGGGCUGGUUUGGGAGCUGGUUUCUCUCCCUCUCCUCCAGCAGCGAAACGCCGUUGCGUCCGUGCCACCGCCCGGCCCCCGCUGCUCCGUUCUGCUUCGCCCCCGGCCUGUAACAAGAGGGAAGGGACACGGGCUGCCCUCUCCCGCGUGACGUUCUCCCUCAGGGCGUCCCAGAAGUUUAAGGGCAGCCCGGAGAAGCUCUCGCUGGGUGGACGGGAAGGUGAAACUUGUCCCCGCUUGUGCUGGCCCGACGCCCAACCGUCCCAGCACCCCGCGGCAGAAGGAUGUUACCGCCCAGUUGUGUCGUCGGCGUGUCCCAGAGGAGGAGCGGGGAUGGUCUGCGGGCAGCUCCUGGGCUCGCUGGUGAGGUCAGCCCCGCCUGCACCCCUCCCCUGCCGCCUGCACCACGUUUUUGGGGGGGUUCAGCGGCCUCUCCAGCCAGUUUUUCACUGUCCGCCCCACGGAUGGAGGUCACCAGCACUUGCUCCAUGAUAAAGGGAAGGGGCAGCCCAUCCCCGGCAGAGACGGCAGCUCGUGCCUUCACCAGCGCUACCGACCGCAGCGAAAUAAGGAUCAAGCAGCUGGGAGGAGAGGGGCCUUUCCGACGAGGGAUCCAGCCCGUGCCACCGUCCCGAACAUCCUCCUCCGCUACCCCGCCGCUCCCCCGGGAUUUCCGGGGGGCCCCGGGGUAACCCCGAAGCUCAGGUUAGGUUGUACGAUUCGUCCCAGCUCCAGCACGGAGCAGCCUGGCGCCCACGGGCUCGGCCCCGAGGGGACGGGAAGGUUUUCCCGGCGGCUGCACCUUUCCCAAGGGAAAAGCCUCUUCCCCUUUCCAAUGUUUCUGCUGCUUCACCCAGGACCGGGGGCUGCGGGUGCCGGGUGCGGAGCGAGGUCUUUUUUUUCACAUUCGCUGUAAAUAGCAUCGUCCGCGGUGACACGGACCCACCCCCCCACCCCCCCCCCCCCGUUCAUGUCGCACAGCCCCUGCCCUCCCCCCGCGCCCUGGUUGUGCUAACUGCUCCGUGAGCACCAGGUUUAAAAAAAAAAAAAAAAACAAAAAAACAAAAAAACCACAAAAACCGAGAGAAAAGAAACUCCUUCAACACGAGCACAAUGUUGAGGUUUGUUUUUUUUUUUUUUUUUUUGUAAAAGGAUCCAAUAAAUGGAGAGUUUAACUUGA